UACGAAGGGGGCGAGCGUUGUUCGGAUUUACUGGGCGUAAAGGGCGCGUAGGCGGCCUUGUCAGUCAGGCGUGAAAGCCCCGGGCUCAACCUGGGAACGGCGCUUGGGACGGCGAGGCUGGAGUUCGGGAGAGGAGAGUGGAAUUCCCAGUGUAGAGGUGGAAUUCGUAGAUAUUGGGAAGAACACCGGUGGCGAAGGCGGCUCUCUGGACCGACACUGACGCUGAGGCGCGAAAGCGUGGGGAGCAAACAGG
rnacentral:rRNA from 1 species